UCAUUCCUUCAUUAACUUUAUAGCUUCUUCUUCUUCUUCUCCAUCUCUUUUCUUCUCUUCUUCUUUCUCAGCCUCGACAUCAAUCCAUGGCAAGUGUUAUUCAAGAGAGAUUUGAAACGUUGUUGGCCAUAUCAUCCUAACCCAUGGCUAUUUUGAAUCAUUCUCUCCGACAUCGAGUCUGUGGUUCAGAUUCGAAAUGUUUUGGCCGUUUAUCGCUGGCGUCGCCGUUACGCUCCUCCUCGUCACCAAACACACGGCAUCUUUCGUUGAGGGUUUAUUCGGAGAGAUCGCAUUGUUUGAUGACACCGCCAUCUCGUCGCCGUCACUGUCACAGCGGAGGAAGAGAGUAGCGGCGAGUCUAUCAACCCUAAUUUUUUUUUUGAACUUGGGUUUUAGUUUUAUUUGGGCUUAACUCUGUAAUUAGUCAUGGCCCAUUAUUUUACUCGUUUGUAACCGUAAAAUUUUGCUUAUUAAAAGCCCAUUAUCUUUAUUUUGGUCUAAUUCGGUUCGAAUUAACCGAAUUGGAAAAAAUUUCGGUU